GGGGAUGAUCGGUUUCGACGUCGGACACUGCGUCGGGAGAAGCGGGCCGAGAAUGCAGAGUCAUCUCGUUAAUGUCCUCUGCAAAACAAUAGGUGCUAAGUCUAACAACCGCACCGAUUUCGCCCUCGCUGCCUGAUAGAGCGCGAGCUGCGAAUCCGUCAGCCUAGAGUUGCCUCUGCUCUAGAUCCUGGCGUCGCUUAAGAGGCCACUGCUUCAGAUGCAUGUUGGGGGCAUCUGAGGGACUCUUACUCAACUCCGUUCGUUGGUCCAUGUGUUCGUGCAGGGGCCAGAACCUAAGACACUGUUUUCACGAACUGCGCCCGGAGAAGUCCUGACAAUCUGCCGACGGACGCGGGUUCGAUUCCCGCCAUCUCCACGU
rnacentral:tmRNA from 1 species